rnacentral:rRNA from 1 species
UAGGGAAUCUUCCGCAAUGGACGCAUGUCUGACGGAGCAACGCCGCGUGAGUGAAGAAGAAUUUCGGUUCGUAAAACUCUGUUGUUAGAGAAGAACAGCGCAUAGAGUAACUGUUAUGCGUGUGACGGUAUCUAACCAGAAAGCCACGGCUAACUACGUGCCAGCAGCCGCGGUAAUACGUAGGUGGCAAGCGUUGUCCGGAUUUAUUGGGCGUAAAGCGAGCGCAGGCGGUCAAUUAAGUCUGAUGUGAAAGCCCCCGGCUCAACCGGGGAAGGUCAUUGGAAACUGGUUGACUUGAGUGCAGAAGAGGAGAGUGGAAUUCCAUGUGUAGCGGUGAAAUGCGUAGAUAUAUGGAGGAACACCAGUGGCGAAGGCGACUCUCUGGUCUGUAACUGACGCUGAGGUUCGAAAGCGUGGGUAGCAAACAGG